ensembl:lncRNA
GUAAAAUCAGGCUCGUCUGCACCAAUUGCUUGACUUUUGCGCCACCAAGUGGCCAUGCAGAACAUACGCGUGUCGCCGAGUAAAUAAGUGAUCCAAACCAUUCGUUCUGCCUAUCGGACCUUCUGUAGUGCUUUUUCAUAAAGAUUACUAGCUGUUUUAUUCAACAGGUAACGUCUACAAAUGUUAGUCUAUAGCGUUAUUAGUCUACCACUAACAACAGACGCAGCAACAAUUACAUAAAGAAGAAGAAGAAGAAGAACCUACUAUUUUAGUAUUUUAUGUUUGCUUUGUUGUCUGUUUGAAAGCAAAGUAAGGGUACCGUUAGCAUGCUGUUUUCUUUCUUUUCUUUCUUUUUUUUUUGUUUACGUUCUUAAUAUGAGACAUAGGCCUAGUACUUAAACGUCACCACUAGAUGGCAGCACAACCCACCUGUCCACCCACUGAAAUUAAAUUGAGGGUACCAAUAGCAUAUAGUUGUUGUUUUUUUCUUCCUGUUUACGUUCUUAAUAUGAGACAUAGGCCUAGUACUUAAACGUCACCACUAGAUGGCAGCACAACCCAUCUGUCCACCCAAUACUGAUACAGCAUGUUGCUAGGCAGCAGACAGGAAGCCAAGCAAGGCAGAGCAGCGGGUCACUGCGGAAAGGAGACUCUGCACCCACACACACCUUUCAUCCUUUCAUCCCAACUAAUACACUCAGGAAAAAAAGAGACAGAGAGAGAAAAGAGGUGCAUCUUUAUCAGGCAACACAGUAUAGCAGCUCACAGCUCCAGGGUCCCCAGUUUGAUCCUGAGGCCUGUUUAUUGUCUAUGUGGAGUUUUGCAUGCUCUCCCAUGUCUGGGAUUCCUGCAAGUUCUACAGUUUCCUCCUCCUUCCCAAAAACAUGCAUAUAGGUGGAUUGGCUCACCAAUGAAUACAAGUCUGAUCUCUAGUCAGCUUUUUUUUGUCAUUUUUAGCACAUCACAUGGCAAUAGAUAAAAACAAAACACAGUUCCUUCAGGAAAUGACUGUGCUAUAUGUAGUAUACAUAGUCAUUGACGGGGACUAAAAUACAACAGUAAAUACGGACAAUAAAUACAGACAAAAAGUCAC